rnacentral:rRNA from 1 species
UACGUAGGGAGCAAGCGUUGUCCGGAAUCAUUGGGCGUAAAGCGCGCGUAGGUGGCCCUGUAAGUCCGUUGUGAAAGUCAAAGGCUCAACCUUUGAAAGCCGGUGGAUACUGUCGGGCUAGAGUACGGAAGAGGCAAGUGGAAUUCCUGGUGUAGCGGUGGAAUGCGCAGAUAUCAGGAGGAACACCUAUAGCGAAGGCAGCUUGCUGGGACGUUACUGACGCUAAGGCGCGAAAGCGUGGGGAGCGAACAGG